rnacentral:rRNA from 1 species
GACAGAGGUGGCAAGCGUUGUUCGGAUUUACUGGGCUUAAAGGGCGCGUAGGCGGCUUUAUAAGUCCGAGGUGGAAUUCCACAGCUUAACUGUGGAACUGCCUUGGAAACUAUAAGGCUUGAGUCAGGUAGAGGAGGGCGGAAUUCCAGGUGUAGCGGUGAAAUGCGUAGAUAUCGGGAGGAAGGCCGGUGGCGAAAGCGGCCCUCUGGGCCUGUACUGACGCUGAGGCGAGAAAGCGUGGGGAGCAAACAGG